rnacentral:rRNA from 1 species
AGAGUUUGAUCCUGGCUCAGAUUGAACGCUGGCGGCAGGCCUAACACAUGCAAGUCGAACGGUAGCACAGAGGAGCUUGCUCCUUGGGUGACGAGUGGCGGACGGGUGAGUAAUGUCUGGGAAACUGCCCGAUGGAGGGGGAUAACUACUGGAAACGGUAGCUAAUACCGCAUAACGUCGCAAGACCAAAGAGGGGGACCUUCGGGCCUCUUGCCAUCGGAUGUGCCCAGAUGGGAUUAGCUAGUAGGUGGGGUAACGGCUCACCUAGGCGACGAUCCCUAGCUGGUCUGAGAGGAUGACCAGCCACACUGGAACUGAGACACGGUCCAGACUCCUACGGGAGGCAGCAGUGGGGAAUAUUGCACAAUGGGCGCAAGCCUGAUGCAGCCAUGCCGCGUGUAUGAAGAAGGCCUUCGGGUUGUAAAGUACUUUCAGCGAGGAGGAAGG